rnacentral:rRNA from 1 species
GUCUACAACCAUGCUACCCUGAACAAGCCCGAUCCUGUCUGAUCUUGGAAGCUAAGCAGGCUCGGGCCUGGUUAGUACUUAGAUGGGAGACCACCUAGGAAGACCAGGUGCUGUAGGCA